rnacentral:rRNA from 1 species
CAGCCGCCGCGGGAAAACGGAGGGGGCUAGCGUUGUUCGGAAUUACUGGGCGUAAAGCGCACGUAGGCGGCUUGGUAAGUUAGAGGUGAAAGCCCGGAGCUCAACUCCGGAAUUGCCUUUAAGACUGCCGAGCUAGCAGGUGAGAGAGGUAAGUGGAAUUCCGAGUGUAGAGGUGAAAUUCGUAGAUAUUCGGAAGAACACCAGUGGCGAAGGCGGCUUACUGGCUCAUACUGGACGCUGAGGUGCGAAAGCGUGGGGAGCAAACAGGAUUAGAUGCCCCAGUAGUCCCUGUCUCUUAUAC